rnacentral:rRNA from 1 species
AACGGAAGACCUUACCUGGCUUGACAUAUAGAGGAUCGCUACAGAGAUGUGGUUUCCCUUGUGGCUUUAUACAGGUGGUGCAUGGUUGUCGUCAGCUCGUGUCGUGAGAUGUUGGGUUAAGUCCCGCAACGAGCGCAACCCUUGUUUAUGUUGCCAGCACGUAUGGUGGGGACUCUGGAGACUGCCGGGGUAACCGGAGGAAGGUGGGGAUGACGUCAAAUCAUCAUGCCCCUUAUGUCCAGGGCUUCACACAUGCUACAAUGGCCGGUACAGAGGGCUGCGAUGCCGUGAGGCGGAGCAAUCUCUAAAGCCGGUCUCAGUUCGGAUUGGGGUCUGCAACUCGACCCCAUGAAGUCGGAGUCGCUAGUAAUCGCAGAUCAGCAUCG